rnacentral:rRNA from 1 species
GACGAACGCUAGCUGCGUGCUUAACACAUGCAAGUCGAACGGAAAGGCCCUGCUAUUGUGGGUUUCUCGAGUGGCGAACGGGUGAGUAAGAGGUGAGUAAGCUGCCCUUGACUUUGUGAUAACGUCAGGAAACUGGGGCUAAUACCGUAUAGGACCUCCUGCUGCAUGGUGGGGGUUGGAAAGUUUUGGCGGUUGGGGAUGGACUCGCGGCUUAUGAGCUUGUUGGUGGGGUUGUGGCUUACCAAGGCUUUGACGGGUAGCGUGCCUGAGAGGGGGACCGGCCCCAUUGGGACUGAGAUACGGCCCAGACUACUGCGGGAGACAGCAGUGGGGAAUAUUGCCCGAUGCGGCGAAGCAUGAUGCAGCAACGCCGCGCGCGGGAUUACGACCUUCGGGUUGUAAACCGCAUUCGCCUGUGACGAUGCGUUAGUGCCGGUACUGUAUGAAUAAGCACCGGCUAACUCCGUG